UGUGACUGCGUACCUUUUGUAUAAUGGGUCAGCGACUUAUAUUCUGUAGCAAGGUUAACCGUAUAGGGGAGCCGGAGGGAAACCGAGUCUUAAUUGGGCGUUAAGUUGCAGGGUAUAGACCCGAAACCCGGUGAUCUAGCCAUGGGCAGGUUGAAGGUUGGGUAACACUAACUGGAGGACCGAACCGACUAAUGUUGAAAAAUUAGCGGAUGACCUGUGGCUGGGGGUGAAAGGCCAAUCAAACCGGGAGAUAGCUGGUUCUCCCCGAAAGCUAUUUAGGUAGCGCCUCGUGAAUUCAUCUCCGGGGGUAGAGCACUGUUUCGGCUAGGGGGCCAUCCCGGCUUACCAACCCGAUGCAAACUGCGAAUACCGGAGAAUGUUAUCACGGGAGACACACGGCGGGUGCUAACGUCCG
rnacentral:rRNA from 1 species